GACGAACGCUGGCGGCGUGCCUAAUACAUGCAAGUCGAGCGCAGUGGGGACGGGUGAGUAACACGUGGGUAACCUCCCAUCAGAGGGGAUAACACUUGGAAAAAGGUGCUAAACCGAUACUGAUGGAUGGACCCGCGGUGCAUUAGCUAGUGGGUGAGGUAACGGCCAACCAAGGCCACGAUGCAUAGCCGACCUGAGAGGGUGAUCGGCCACACUGGGACGGAGACACGGCCCAGACUCCUACGGGAGGCAGCAGUAGGGAAUCUUGGGCAAUGGACGAAAGUCUGAUCAAGCAACGCCGCGUGAGUGAAGAAGGUUUUAGGAUCGUAAAGCUCUGUUGUUAGAGAAGCGGUAUCUAACCAGAAAGCCACGGCUAACUACGUGCCAGCAGCCGCGGUAAUAC
rnacentral:rRNA from 1 species